UGGCGGCAGGCCUAACACAUGCAAGUCGAGCGGAAACGAGUUAUCUGAACCUUCGGGGAACGAUAACGGCGUCGAGCGGCGGACGGGUGAGUAAUGCCUAGGAAAUUGCCCUGAUGUGGGGGAUAACCAUUGGAAACGAUGGCUAAUACCGCAUGAUGCCUACGGGCCAAAGAGGGGGACCUUCGGGCCUCUCGCGUCAGGAUAUGCCUAGGUGGGAUUAGCUAGUUGGUGAGGUAAGGGCUCACCAAGGCGACGAUCCCUAGCUGGUCUGAGAGGAUGAUCAGCCACACUGGAACUGAGACACGGUCCAGACUCCUACGGGAGGCAGCAGUGGGGAAUAUUGCACAAUGGGCGCAAGCCUGAUGCAGCCAUGCCGCGUGUGUGAAGAAGGCCUUCGGGUUGUAAAGCACUUUCAGUCGUGAGGAAGGUGGUGUAGUUAAUAGCUGCAUUAUUUGACGUUAGCGACAGAAGAAGCACCGGCUAACUC
rnacentral:rRNA from 1 species